CCCCAAGGCUGCAGCUUGAGGGACAAAAGUUAGAAGAGGAGGGCUUUCCAGCUCCUAGGGUGAUUGAUAAGGGGAUAGAGAUGGAAGAAGAGGAAGGGGAAGCUUUUGAGGCCCUUCUUGUACUGAGAGUCCGAAGCCAAGAGGAACCAGUUCCAGGGAAGGUGGAGGUGGAGAGAAGAAGGUCACUGUUGACGUCAGGGACAUUCAGUUUGAGAACCACGGUUGGAGUUCUGCUUCAACUCAGACAACUGAAUGAACUUCUUGUCCUGUGUAUGGUCCGGUCAGAGAGAAGAGGGUAGACUGCAAAUCCUAGAGCACAGGGUGCCAACAAGAGGAGUAAUCCGGAUAGAGACAAAUGGCCAUUUUAUUAGCAAAAAUAAAUACACGAUAAGUAGAUGGAAAGAAUGAAGACCGCGGACCAGUGGAGAGAUAUGCGGAAGCUGCACUGCAGUCUCAGCUUACAGGCUGAGAUGGGCGGGCACCAGGGAAGAUCCAGAGCCUAGCCCUCCACCCAAGGGGGGCAGCAGGGCAAUAAGGGGCGUCUCGCACUCCCCCAGCAGCACGUCCCUGCGCAGUCCCAAGCCUCUGUCCAGCACUUUGGCCCUCAGACUGCGGGCGGCCAGGUCUGGAGGGCCGAGUCCGUCGAAGAAGAAGUCCUCGUUGAAGAUGAGGUUGGCGCUGCAUUUGACCACUCGGCUCCGCUGGGCUCUCGGCCGGACGCGGGGCUGCAGCCUUAGCACCACGCAGCAGCCGCCGCCGCCGCUACCGGGGCCCGCCCGAGGCCGGGGAAGGGCCUCAGCGCUCACCAGGCGCAGCCGCAGCCGCCCGAGCCCGGCCUGGUACUCGGCGGAGAGCCGGAGUUGCCCGCCGCGGGGCCCAAGGCGCAGCACGCUCUCCUUGGUCGGCCGCAGCUGGCAGUAGAGGAAAUCCAGGUGGAAAAGCGGCGGCGUGGGCGCCCCUGCGCGGCGCGGCGCGUACGGGCUGGUGUCGGACGAGUCGGCCUCUUCCGGGGACAACGAGUCGGGCCUGGGUGACCGGCGCCGGCCAGGACCCGACCGGGGGGAUCCAAAGGGCGAUGAGUCGGGCGACGAGGCCGUGUCGCUGUCGGGGGCCAGGCAGAGGCGCAGGUCCGGGGCUGAGACAUACAGUCGAGACUGCGUUGGGGGGAGUCCCCCAGCCAGGCCGGGCGGCGGCGAGUGGAACAGAGACUCGCGCCGGCGCGUGUGCGGGCUCUCGGGCAGGAAUGCCCAGCCUUCGCGGCCCGCUAGAUGCGGCAGCGAGCAGGCAGAGGGGAGGCUGCGCCCGCCCACGUUGGGCCCGGCCCGGGGCUGGACGCCGCCUGGGUCCCGGAGCCGAGGUGGGAUGAAGAACUGCGGGAUGCGAUCAGGGGAAACCACUGAGCACAAAGGAACCAUUGAUUCUCCGCCACCCCCGGAGCGGGGUCUGGAAGGAUCCUCAGCUGCCCGCCCACCGCACCCCUGCACCGAGCUACCGAGAGCGCGACGUUCCGAAUGUUCGCCCGGGAAUCCAACCUCGUGACCGGCUCUCUGGUGCUCUCAGAGUGCAGGCCUUACCUGUGGGCGGCCGCUGGGCCCUGGCCUCUGGCUUCUGGCCCGGAGGCGUGCAGAGCGUUUGGGGAGCAGCUUCCUCUCCAACCUGCUCCCCUAACUCAGUUCUUCUGGGAGGAGCUGGCAGGUGCCCCUGCUGUCUACGUCUGACGACUUUUCCUGGAUAAACACACCUCUGUCUCUGCGGCCAUCAACCGGGCCUUCUUCCUCCAACCAGAGCCAGAUUUCUAGCAGCAACCUGCUAGUCCUAGACCUGGGCUGCUUGGGGGUUGGGAGGGCUACAGAGAAGAGGGUGAUUGCCAACAGUGGCCAGUUGUUGCCAUUCUUUUCUGUGCAUCGACCCCACCCCAUCCCUUCCAGGUGAAACCCACAGCAUGGCCACACAAAGCCCAUCUUCUCCAAAACCCUCCUUGCUGGAACCUUGCCUUGACAUCCAAUGCAGUUUCUGGAGCCAUCCUCAGUAGCUCCCAGGCACGUUUCCCACAUCCCAAGGAAAAGAGGCCAGGUUCAGGAUUUCUAGACACAGAGACACUGAGGACAAAGAUGGAUCCAACAGUUGGUCAGAAUCAGGCUGACUUUUGCCCUCCACCUCUGGGAGAUCCUAGAAAGCACAGGCCACCUCUGAUAAAAUGAGACUAACGGUUGUGCUCCAGGCACCUCUAUCACCAGACUGUCAAAGGAGGCCUGCUCAUUCCCUCCUUAGGACCUUAGCAUAGGCUAUUUCCCUGCCUCAUUCCCUUCAUCUUUCAGAUCUGGAGACAGUAUUACUGACUCCCUUCUAUCUAAAUUAGUGGCACCUAUGUACAUUUUCACAGCACCCCCACCUUUCUUUUAUAGCACUGAUCACAGUUUUUUCUAUUUAUGUGAUUUUUAAAAAGAUGUCUGCUUCCAUUAUUAGAUUGUAAACAUCCUAAAGACAGUGCUUAGCACAAGCCAGGUGCUCCAUCAGGAUUCGAUGAAUGAGUAAAUGAAUGAUACUAAGCAGAAUUAUACUUGAAUUAGUUUGUACAUCCAUUCACUGAGUUCCUAAGAUGCAUCAGACUCUGUGCUAGGUGUGCAGAUAUGCAGAGUGGGUAGCUGCUAGGGGAGAAACAGAUAAUAAAUUUGUAAACACUGACCACCAUCACAAGACAUUAUGAAAUGCAGGAGACAAGAUGAAACAAACCAGUUAAUGGCAUUAUUUUGUCAUCUGAUACUUGAAAGUUAUGAUAGAGCAAGUGUUUUUUUUUUUUUUUUUUUUGGUUGGUUGGCUUGUAUGCUUUUUGGAGAUCCUUAGUGACCCUAGACCUUUCAUUCCUGUGAUUCCUAACUCAGCUCUGUCCUGGUGUUUCUAGUGAGGGUCAUUUGGCUCUAUGGACUGCCACCAAGAGCUCCUGCUGUGGGGAAAAGUCCUAUGGACUGGGAAUCUGGCCUUUUCAACUUUCUAGCUUUUUUUUUUUUUUUGGCGGUACUGGGGAUUGAACCCAGGGCCUUGUGCUUAUGAGGCAAGCACUCUACCAACUGAGCUAUGUCCCCAGUCCAACUUUUUAGCUUUUUGACCUCUAAAUCUUACUUAGUCUCUUUUCCCAUCUGGUAGAGAGGCUUUACCUAACAGAGUUGGUGUGAGGGCUAAGCAAGAUAACUCGUGGGCAUUAGUUAGUUCUGCUAAAAGUUUGAGAAAACAGAAAACCCAACUUGAUCUGGCUUAAUAAUAAGUCAAUUUCUGACUUCCAUAAUAAGUCCAGAAGUAAGAUUCAGGAAAAUUUGACUUUUGUGGCUUCACCCAUUCAUUCUCUACCAUAGUUACUGAGUAUCUACUAUGUGCCAGGCCCUGUUGGAAAUAUAGCAAUGAGAAAGCAAAUAAAUUCCCUGGCCAGAUGUAGUUUAUAUAUCUGGGGAAGAAAGACAGUAAUGAAAACUAAAAUACCAAAAAAUAGAGUUUAGUAGAUGGAAAAAGUGUUGAGAAAAUUAGAAUGACAGAGGGUACCAGGAGAGAAUUCAGUUUUAAAUAGAAUGGGCAGGGAUGGCUUCCUGGAGAAGGUAACAUUUCAGAAAUAUGAAGGAAGGAAGAAGGGCAUCAAGGGAAAAGCAUUCUGGGCAGAAGGAAUCACAAAUGUAAAGGCCUGGGCCAGGAACAUACCUGGAGUGGUCAAGGAGACAAUGGGCCCAGUGUAGCUACAACAGAACAGAGGAGGGGGAAAUGAAAUCAGAGAGCAAACAGGUUCAGAACGUUGGGGCUUGCAGCCACUGUAACAAAUUUAGCUUUUAUUUGUGGUGAGUUAAGGAGGGAUAUGGACUGACUUACACAUUAAAGAGAUCUGCCUGGUACCUGUGCUGAGAAUAGAAUGAAAGGGUAAGGGUAUAAGAGUAGUGGUAGGGAGAUCAGAUAAGAGAUGCUUUAAGUAAUCUUGGCAUGAGAUGACUAGGGUGUGGAUCAGAGAGGGUUGUAGUUGUCAGUUUCUGGAUAUAGUCUGAAGAGAAUCAAUAAAGGAUUUCCUGCUGGUUCCAUCUCCAUCCAAGGAGAAACAAUGAUCCAAGGUUUUUGGCCUGACCGACUGGAAGAAAGGAGUUGCCAUUUUACUGAGAGGAGGAAAUAUCAGGUGAUCAGUUUUGGACCUGUUAAAUCUGAGAUAUUUGUUAGGCAUCUAAGUGGAGAUAUCAAGUAGGCAGUUGGACAUGUAAAUCUGGAAUGCAGAGGAGAGGCCCUGGAAUGAAUCUGAUGUCACCCACCUUCAUUUCUAUAGAUCAGGAAUCAGAUCCUAUAAGAAAUGAUAAGCCAAAGAGCAGCAGAGUUGAGAAUAGAACCCGAAUUUUCUGCCUUGAAGAUCAUUGUUCUUUCUUGUACCCUAUGAAUCCUUCUACUUAGAGCAGGGCUGCUCCAUCACUUCUUCAAGUGCCAUUGCUGCCACUCCUUGAGAACUUUUUAGUUCAUUUUCUGUUGCUAUAACUGGGUGAUUUAUAAAGACUGGGUGAUUUAUAAAGAAUGGAGGUAUAUUUUGACUCAUGGUUCUAGAGGCUGGAAAAUCUAAGAGCAUGGUGCUGGCAUCAGUGAGCACCUUGUGUUGAGUCAUAAUAUGGCAGAAAAGUAGAAGGACAAGUGGGCACAUUGAGGAGAGAGAAAGAGCACAAAAAAUGGCCACUUUAUAACAGUUCAUUCUCAUGAAAACAAAUCCACUCCUGAGAGCAAGGUGUAGUCAUCCUCCUAAUGACCUAAUCAUUUCUUAAAGGCCCCACUUCCCAACACCACUGAAAUGAAAAGCAAAUUUCAACAUGAGUUUCAGAGGGGAUGGAACACAUUCAGAGCAUAGCAACUUCCCAGGUGACCCAAUGGUCCUUAUUUCCUUGCCUUGCUGGUACCAUUUUAGAAGAACAUGUAGAUGACUGAGCAGUACAAUCCAGGUGUGGUAAUCCUAGCUACUUGGGAGGCUGAGGCAGGAGGAUGACAAGUUUGAGGCCAGUCUGGGUAAUUUAGUGAGACCCUGUCUCAAAAUAAAAAUAAAAAGGCUGAGGAUGUAGCUCUAGUAUGGAGAGAGAGAAAAAAGAAAGAAGGAGGAGGAGGAAAGGAAGAAGAUUGGGCAGUACAGAGUACUUUCCACGGUCCAAGUGAAAUGGAAGAGGCAGAGAAGGUCAGGCCUUUCUUCCAGGUAGGCAGGCAAGGCUACAAGCUCCCUAAGCUUUUGGAUCUAGGCUGUAUAUCCUGAGACCUUGAGUGGUGGCUUCAAGUGCAUGACUUGGCCACCAAUGCCCACUGCAAAGCCCUGGUGGGUCAUGGGGCUGGUGGCAAACAAUGUCUUGCAGUUCUGGCUCCUCACUCAGGACCUGUAAUUAAUGACCUAGCUCUGUGGUCUCUGUUCCAGGAAGGCCUCAGGGGCUCCUUCUUUAAGAACUGGUAUGAGGGCUGGGGAUAUACUUCGGUUGGUAGAGUGCUUGCCUUGUAAGCACAAGACCGAGUUCAAAUCCCCAGCACCACAA